rnacentral:rRNA from 1 species
GCCCAGACUCCUACGGGAGGCAGCAGUGAGGAAUAUUGGUCAAUGGCCGAGAGGCUGAACCAGCCAAGUCGCGUGAGGGAAGAAUGUCCUAAGGAUUGUAAACCUCUUUUGUCGGGGAGCAAAAAGGCUCUGCGGAGUCGUAUUGAGAGUACCCGAAGAAAAAGCAUCGGCUAACUCCGUGCCAGCAGCCGCGGUAAUACGGAGGAUGCGAGCGUUAUCCGGAUUUAUUGGGUUUAAAGGGUGCGCAGGCGGCGUGUCAAGCAAGCGGUAAAAUAGCGGGGCUCAACCCCGUCGAGCCGUUGAAACUGGCAGACUUGAGUUGGCGAGAAGUACGCGGAAUGCGCGGUGUAGCGGUGAAAUGCAUAGAUAUCGCGCAGAACUCCGAUUGCGAAGGCAGCGUACCGGCGCCACACUGACGCUGAGGCACGAAAGCGUGGGGAUCGAACAGGAUUAGAUACCCUUGUAA